rnacentral:rRNA from 1 species
ACACGUGGAUAACCUACCUAUAAGACUGGGAUAACUUCGGGAAGCCGGAGCUAAUACCGGAUAAUAUAUUGAACCGCAUGGUUCAAUGGUGAAAGACGGUUUGCUGUCACUUAUAGAUGGAUCCGCGCCGCAUUAGCUAGUUGGUAAGGUAACGGCUUACCAAGGCAACGAUGCGGUAGCCGACCUGAGAGGGUGAUCGGCCACACUGGAACUGAGACACGGUCCAGACUCCUACGGGAGGCAGCAGUA